rfam:Callithrix jacchus chromosome 11, whole genome shotgun sequence
CCACACAGCAUUGUACCCAGAGUCUGUCCCCAAACAUUGCACCUGGCGCUGUUAGGCCGGAAUUAAAGUGGUUC